rnacentral:rRNA from 2 species
CUCUGGUAAUGAUUGGUGCUUGCAUCAUGAAUUACAUUUGAGUGAGUGGCGAACUGGUGAGUAACACGUGGGAAACCUGCCCAGAAGCGGGGGAUAACACCUGGAAACAGAUGCUAAUACCGCAUAACAACUUGGACCGCAUGGUCCGAGUUUGAAAGAUGGCUUCGGCUAUCACUUUUGGAUGGUCCCGCGGCGUAUUAGCUAGAUGGUGAGGUAACGGCUCACCAUGGCAAUGAUACGUAGCCGACCUGAGAGGGUAAUCGGCCACAUUGGGACUGAGACACGGCCCAAACUCCUACGGGAGGCAGCAGUAGGGAAUCUUCCACAAUGGACGAAAGUCUGAUGGAGCAACGCCGCGUGAGUGAAGAAGGGUUUCGGCUCGUAAAACUCUGUUGUUAAAGAAGAACAUAUCUGAGAGUAACUGUUCAGGUAUUGACGGUAUUUAACCAGAAAGCCACGGCUAACUACGUGCCAGCAGCCGCGGUAAUACGUAGGUGGCAAGCGUUGUCCGGAUUUAUUGGGCGUAAAGCGAGCGCAGGCGGUUUUUUAAGUCUGAUGUGAA